AUGGACCGAACAGAAGCAGAAGAUAUUAAGAAGAGGUGGCAAGAAUACACAGAAGAACUGUACAAAAGAAAGCUGCAUGACCCAGAUAAUCACGAUGGUGUGAUGACUCACCUAGAGCCAGACAUCCUGGAAUGUGAAGUCAAGUGGGCCUUAGAAAGCAUCACUAUGAACAAAGCUAGUGGAAGUGAUGGCAUUCCAGUUGAGCUCUUACAAAUCCUGAAAGAUGAUGCUGUGAAAGUGCUGCACUCAAUAUGCCAGCAUAUUUGGAAAACUCAGCAGUGGCCACAGGACCGGAAAAGGUCAGUUUUCAUUCCAGUCCCAAAGAAAGGCAAUGCCAAAGAAUGCUCAAGCAACCACACAGUUGUGCUCAUUUCACACGCUAGUAAGGUAAUGCUCAAAAUUCUCCAAGCCAGGCUUCAGCGCUACGUGAACCGUGAACUUCCAGAUGUUCAAGCUGCUUUUAGGAAAGGCAGAGGAACCAGAGAUCAACUUGCCAACAUCCGCUGGAUCAUGGAAAAAGCAAGAGAGUUCCAGAAAAACAUCUAUUUCUGCUUUAUUUACUAUGCCAAAGCCUUUGACUGUGUGGAUCACAAUGAACUGUGGAAAAUUCUGAAAGAAAUGGGAAUACCAGACCACCUGUCCUGCCUCUUGAGAAAUCUGUAUGCAGGUCAGGAAGCAACAGUUAGAACUGGACAUGGAACAACAGACUGGUUCCAAAUAGGAAAAGGAGUACGUCAAGGCUGUAUAUUGUCACCCUGCUUAUUUAACUUAUAUGCAGAGUACAUCAUGAGAAAUGCUGGGCUGGAAGAAACACAAGCUGGAAUCAAGAUUGCUGGGAGAAAUAUCAAUAACCUCAGAUAUGCAGAUGACACCACCCUUAUGGCAGAAAGUGAAGAGGAAUUAAAGAGCCUCUUGAUGAAAGUGAAAGUAGAGAGUGAAAAAGUUGGCUUAAAGCUCAACAUUCAGAAAAUGAAGAUCAUGGUAUCCGGUUCCAUUACGUCAUGGGAAAUAGAUGGGGAAUCAGUGGAAACAGUGUCAGAUUUUAUGUUUCUGGGCUCUGAAAUCACUGCAGAUGGUGACUGCAGCCAUGAAAUUGAAAGACGCUUACUCCUUGGAAGGAAAGUUAUGACCAACCUAGAUAGUGUAUUGAAAAGCAGAGAUAUUACUUUGCCAACAAAGGUCCAUCUAGUCAAGGCUAUGAUUUUUCCAGUAGUCAUGCAUGGAUGUGAGAGUUGGACUGUGAAGAAAGCUGAGCACUGA
rnacentral:lncRNA from 1 species